GAUGAACGCUGGCGGCGUGCUUAACACAUGCAAGUCGAACGAUGAAGCCCAGCUUGCUGGGUGGUUUAGUGGCGAACGGGUGAGUAACACGUGAGUAACCUGCCCUUAACUCUGGGAUAAGCCUGGGCAACUGGGUCUAAUACCGGAUAGGAGCGCCUACCGCCUGGUGGGUGUUGGAAAGCUUUAUCGGUUUUGGAUGGACUCGCGGCCUAUCAGCUUGUUGGUGAGGUAAUGGCUCACCAAGGCGACGACGGGUAGCCGGCCUGAGAGGGUGACCGGCCACACUGGGACUGAGACACGGCGCAGACGCCUACGGGAGGCAGCAGUGGGGAAUAUUGCACAAUGGGCGAAAGCCUGAUGCAGCGACGCCGCGUGAGGGAUGACGGCCUUCGGGUUGUAAACCUCUUUCAGUAGGGAAGAAGCGAAAGUGACGGUACCUGCAGAAGAAGCACCGGCUAACUACGUG
rnacentral:rRNA from 1 species